rnacentral:rRNA from 1 species
GAUGAACGCUGGCGGCGUGCCUAAUACAUGCAAGUCGAGCGAACAGACGAGGAGCUUGCUCCUCUGACGUUAGCGGCGGACGGGUGAGUAACACGUGGAUAACCUACCUAUAAGACUGGGAUAACUUCGGGAAACCGGAGCUAAUGCCGGAUAAUAUAUUGAACCGCAUGGUUCAAUAGUGAAAGACGGUUUUGCUGUCACUUAUAGAUGGAUCCGCGCCGCAUUAGCUAGUUGGUAAGGUAACGGCUUACCAAGGCAACGAUGCGUAGCCGACCUGAGAGGGUGAUCGGCCACACUGGAACUGAGACACGGUCCAGACCCCUACGGGAGGCAGCAGUAGGGAAUCUUCCGCAAUGGGCGAAAGCUUGACGGAGCAACGCCGCGUGAGUGAUGAAGGUCUUCGGAUCGUAAAACUCUGUUAUUAGGGAAGAACAAAUGUGUAAGUAACUAUGCACGUCUUGACGGUACCUAAUCAGAAAACCACGGCUAACUACGU